rnacentral:lncRNA from 1 species
UGGCAGUCCAACAUAUUGCCUAUUAUUAUUCAACAUUUGGAACAUUAUUGGCUUCAGUUCAAAAUUCCCAGCUUGGAUUGCUAGCUUAACAACUCCUGGUUGUAUGUCAUCCAAGACAGGUACUACAAAAUCUCGUAUAGGCCUGUUUUGUAUUUGAGCAUCUUGCUGGAACGGUGGGUCAUUAGCAUUUUGGUUUUGC